AUGACUGCUGUCGUUUCAGCCACUGGAGUACUUGUGGUCAUUUCAGACGUGGUCGUCGCAGCACUUGUAGAUGUUUCUGUUGUUGCAGUUGUACUUGGUGCUUCUGUGGAAGUUGCUGCUGUCGUACUUGUGACUUCCGUCGUUGUUCCUGCCACUGCAGUGGUAGAGGUUGUUUCAGAGAUCGUCGUUGCAGCACUUGUUGAUGUUUCUGUUGUAGCUGUUGUAGUUGGUACUUCUGUGGAAGUCGCUGCUGUCGUAGCUGUGACUGCUGUCGUUUCAGCCAGUGGAGUUGUUGUGGUCAUUUCAGACGUGGUUGUCGCAGCACUUGUAGAUGUUUCUGUUGUUGCAGUUGUACUUGGUGCUUCUGUGGAAGUAGCUGCUGUCGUAGUUGUGACUUCUGUCGUUUCUGCCAGUGGAGUGGAUGUGGUUGUUGCAGUUGUACUUGGUGCUUCUGUGGAAGUAGCUGCUGUCGUAGUUGUGACUUCUGUCGUUUCUGCCAGUGGAGUGGAUGUGGUUGUUUCAGACAUCGUCGUUGCAGCACUUGUUGAUGUUUCUGUUGUAGCUGUUGUAGUUGGUACUUCUGUGGAAGUCGCUGCUGUAGUAGCUGUGACUGCUGUCGUUUCAGCCACUGGAGUAGUUGCGGUCAUUUCAGACGUGGUCGUCGCAGCACUUGUAGAUGUUUCUGUUGUAGCAGUUGUACUUGGUGCUUCUGUGGAAGUAGCUGCUGUCGUAGUUGUGACUUCUGUCGUUUCUGCCAGUGGAGUGGAUGUGGUUGUUUCAGACAUCGUCGUUGCAGCACUUGUUGAUGUUUCUAUUGUAGCUGUUGUAGUUGGUACUUCUAUGGAAGUCGCUGCUGUAGUAGAUGUGACUGCUGUCGUUUCAGCCACUGGAGUAGUUGUGGUCAUUUCUGACGUGGUCGUCGCAGCACUUGUAGAUGUUUCUGUUGUUGCAGUUGUACUUGGUGCUUCUGUGGAAGUAGCUGCUGUAGUAGCUGUGACUUCCGUCGUUGUUCCUGCCACUGCAGUGGUAGAGGUUGUUUCAGACAUCGUCGUUGCAGCACUUGUUGAUGUUUCUGUUGUAGCUGUUGUAGUUGGUACUCCUGUGGAAGUCGCUGCUGUCGUAGCUGUGACUGCUGUCGUUUCAGCCACUGGAGUAGUUGUGGUCAUUUCUGACGUGGUCGUCGCAGCACUUGUAGAUGUUUCUGUUGUUGCAGUUGUACUUGGUGCUUCUGUGGAAGUUGCUGCUGUAGUAGCUGUGACUUCCGUCGUUGUUCCUGCCACUGCAGUGGUAGAGGUUGUUUCAGACAUCGUCGUUGCAGCACUUGUUGAUGUUUCUGUUGUAGCUGUUGUAGUUGGUACUCCUGUGGAAGUCGCUGCUGUCGUAGCUGUGACUGCUGUCGUUUCAGCCACUGGAGUAGUUGUGGUCAUUUCUGACGUGGUCGUCGCAGCACUUGUAGAUGUUUCUGUUGUUGCAGUUGUACUUGGUGCUUCUGUGGAAGUUGCUGCUGUAGUAGCUGUGACUGCCGUCGUUGUUCCUGCCACUGCAGUGGUAGAGGUUGUUUCAGACAUCGUCGUUGCAGCACUUGUUGAUGUUUCUGUUGUAGCUGUUGUAGUUGGUACUCCGGUGGAAGUCGCUGCUGUCGUAGAUGUGACUGCUGUCGUUUCAGCCACUGGAGUAGUUGUGGUCAUUUCUGACGUGGUCGUCGCAGCACUUGUAGAUGUUUCUGUUGUUGCAGUUGUACUUGGUGCUUCUGUGGAAGUUAGCUGCUGUAGUAGCUGUGACUGCCGUCGUUGUUCCUGCCACUGCAGUGGUAGAGGUUGUUUCAGACAUCGUCGUUGCAGCACUUGUGAUGUUUCUGUUGUAGCUGUUGUAGUUGGUACUCCGGUGGAAGUCGCUGCUGUCGUAGAUGUGACUGCUGUCGUUUCAGCCACUGGAGUAGUUGUGGUCAUUUCUGACGUGGUCGUCGCAGCACUUGUAGAUGUUUCUGUUGUUGCAGUUGUACUUGGUGCUUCUGUGGAAGUUGCUGCUGUAGUAGCUGUGACUGCCGUCGUUGUUCCUGCCACUGCAGUGGUAGAGGUUGUUUCAGACAUCGUCGUUGCAGCACUUGUUGAUGUUUCUGUUGUAGCUGUUGUAGUUGGUACUCCUGUGGAAGUCGCUGCUGUCGUAGAUGUGACUGCUGUCGUUUCAGCCACUGGAGUAGUUGUGGUCAUUUCUGACGUGGUCGUCGCAGCACUUGUAGAUGUUUCUGUUGUUGCAGUUGUACUUGGUGCUUCUGUGGAAGUUAGCUGCUGUAGUAGCUGUGACUUCCGUCGUUGUUCCUGCCACUGCAGUGGUAGAGGUUGUUUCAGACAUCGUCGUUGCAGCACUUGUUGAUGUUUCUGUUGUAGCUGUUGUAGUUGGUACUCCGGUGGAAGUCGCUGCUGUCGUAGAUGUGACUGCUGUCGUUUCAGCCACUGGAGUAGUUGUGGUCAUUUCUGACGUGGUCGUCGCAGCACUUGUAGAUGUUUCUGUUGUUGCAGUUGUACUUGGUGCUUCUGUGGAAGUUGCUGCUGUAGUAGCUGUGACUGCCGUCGUUGUUCCUGCCACUGCAGUGCUAGAGGUUGUUUCAGACAUCGUCGUUGCAGCACUUGUUGAUGUUUCCGUUGUAGCUGUUGUAGUUGGAACUCCUGUGGAAGUCGCUGCUGUCGUAGAUGUGACUGCUGUCGUUUCAGCCACUGGAGUAGUUGUGGUCAUUUCUGACGUGGUCGUCGCAGCACUUGUAGAUGUUUCUGUUGUUGCAGUUGUACUUGGUGCUUCUGUGGAAGUUGCUGCUGUAGUAGCUGUGACUGCCGUCGUUGUUCCUGCCACUGCAGUGGUAGAGGUUGUUUCAGACAUCGUCGUUGCAGCACUUGUUGAUGUUUCUGUUGUAGCUGUUGUAGUUGGUACUCCUGUGGAAGUCGCUGCUGUCGUAGAUGUGACUGCUGUCGUUUCAGCCACUGGAGUAGUUGUGGUCAUUUCUGACGUGGUCGUCGCAGCACUUGUAGAUGUUUCUGUUGUUGCAGUUGUACUUGGUGCUUCUGUGGAAGUAGCUGCUGUAGUAGCUGUGACUUCCGUCGUUGUUCCUGCCACUGCAGUGGUAGAGGUUGUUUCAGACAUCGUCGUUGCAGCACUUGUUGAUGUUUCUGUUGUAGCUGUUGUAGUUGGAACUCCUGUGGAAGUCGCUGCUGUCGUAGCUGUGACUGCUGUCGUUUCAGCCACUGGAGUAGUUGUGGUCAUUUCUGACGUGGUCGUCGCAGCAC
rnacentral:lncRNA from 1 species